AAUUUACUAUUUUUUUUCUUUUCCUUUUUUUUUAGCGCUGCAUGAGUUUAAAGGUUUACGUAUUCUAGAAUGGAAAAUUUCGCUGAAGAUAAUACAGUCACAGAUGUAGACAAGAAGGGUCUUGUUUCUUAAACAGCUUCAAAUGUCUACAUCUGCAUAACUCAUCACGAUAUCCCAAAUGUGGGGAGAAACACAAGACAAAAGAAAAAGAAAAGAAAAGAAAACUUGGAAAAUAUGCUUAAGUGCUGGUGAAGUGAGCUUCUGUCAGGAACACCAGAAUACAACAAUAUCUGGAACAAUAAUUAACCCCCAAAUACUUCACAAAGUAUAAUGACAUUUCUGAUAAUUACUUGAAAAAUUAAUUCUCAGAAUGUUUAAUACCUAAGAGAAGUCCCUAAACAGACUGCAAAUAUGGAACUGGCUUCUGAAAUUCUGAGAAGGAUGGGAAAUGUGUUUCUCGGUAACCUUGAAUCACAUCCUGACAGUGCCAUCUACCAGCAGCAGUGUAAACUGCAGUGGAAAAGCCAUCCUAUAACCAAUUUCUGACUAUAAAUUACGCAAUUUCUGAGGUCAUGCAAUAUAUAGUUGUGUCUAAUACACAAAGCAUUUUAUUUUUAAUUUAUAAUUGUAAGCUUUUGUUGUGGCCUCAUAACAAAUGAUGGAAGUGGUUUCUAGUUACCAAGAGGGUAUCAGAUAAUCUAUGAAUCACUUCAUGUAGAUCGACGUGGCAACCAAAAUACCACCUCCUGAACUAUUUACUAUUCCACAAUCCAGUUUAUUUUAAUCACUACCAACAUGUUCUUCAGGAUAAUAAUGAGUCCUUUGUCCCUGACCUUCUGUGAGGGUUUCUCAGUCAGUGAACACUGGUGACUUCCUGCAUCACUAACUUUCUCAUGGUAUCCUAAAGUCCAGAAAAGUCCCAUCUUUUAUCCUAGCACUGAUUUAACUUGAUUUUAGAACUCGAAAAUUAGUCUUUAUUUCCUAUAUAACUUUAAAGUAACUGAAAUUAAUUACUAUUAAAUAAUCAAGGCAUUAUCACAAUCUGCUUUUGUAUGAUUUGAUAUGGAGCUUGUGGAAUGGGAGGGGCACCAUUCUAGAGUUUCCCUUGGAGUGCUGCUUCAAAGAAAAGACAUUAAAAUCUCUCCUGAGCAUGUGGUAUAAACUUUUCCGUCCAAAAAUAAUAGUCAAGUGGCUCCACACUCACUCAUUUCCUUCCCUCCUUUUCAUCCUCUUCCUCCUCCUCCUCUUGUGACAGAAGCAGAGAAAUUAAUUUGAGUAUUUUAAAAUAUAUGUCUUGUGGAGGCCAUAGUUUUUUCUCUUUUCUGGACACAAUUAGAAAAUCAGGAGAAAAAGUAAACUGGAGGACAAACAUAUCUAUGAGGCUGAAAAAUAAGCAUUUUUGGAAGAUGAAAUGCAAAUGCUUCCAUGGGUAACUGAAUUGGCUGUGGCUUUUGGUCUACUCUAGGGAUUAAAAAAUUGUUUGUGGGCAUAAACAAUGAAACAUUGUAGACAUUAGUUACUUGCCUCAAGGUAUUUCUUAUUUUACAUAUAACAUUCUUUGUGGAUUACAAAUGAAGUGAAUGAGGAGGGUGUGGGGUUAUGGCUCAGUGGUAGAGCGCUUACUUAGCAUCUGUAAGGGACUGGGUUCGAUUCUCAGCACCACAAAUAAAAAAAAUAUAAUAAAGUCCAUUGACAAUUAAAAAUAUAUUUUAAAAAAUGAAGUGAAUGUCCUGCCUCCUUCCUUUCCCUCCCACCCCUCUUCUUCCCUAUCUGGAAUUCAUUUAUUCCUCCCAUGCUCCCCCUCCCUACCCCACUAUGAGUCAGCCUCCUUAUAUCAGAGAAAACACUAGGCUAGGCAUUUUUUUUUUUUUUGCGGGGGGGGGGGGGGAUUGGCUAACUUCACUUAGCAUUAUCUUCUCCAAUGCCAUCCAUUUACCUGCAAAUGCC
rnacentral:lncRNA from 1 species